UUCGCCACUAGGAUUCAAGAUUCUCGUACCUCAGCCUCCUGAGUAGCUGGGACUACAGAAGAAAGCAGAACCAUGAUUAAACACCCAGUGAAUAAUUUGGGAUGCUGAUGAAAUCAAAGAAGACUGGAAAAGCAACCUGCUGGGUGUGCUGUGGAGAGAUUUCCUAUACUGGGCAGAAGCAACUGAAAAUCUCUGCAACAACUUGGCAAUGGAAUGUGAAGGAGCCGAACAAGGAAGGACCAGACAACUGACUCACGGGGUUUGGUUGAAGGAGAUGAGGGCAAGGAGAAAAGGGAUAUGAAGAGGGUUGUAGAGACUGUGGGAGGAAGGAGAUAGAAAAGGCCUUCGGCAAAGAUACUUUUCUGCCUACAUCUAUGUUGGCCAUAUGGGGAUGCCAUAAAUACCUUGAACACUGGAGGAGCUAGGUGUGGCACCAGAAAUCAAGAUGGCCCUCAAGGAUUCUAGCCUCCUGGUAUUCAUGUUCUUAUAUAGUCUCCUCCAACAUUGAAAAGGGCUGACCUGUGUAACCAAUAGGAUAUUGUGGGAAUGAUGGAGUUUGUCUUUUGAGGCUAGAUCAUGAAAGACAUGUGGUUCUUGGACCACUUAAUCAUGGAGAAGAUGGCUGCCAUGUUGUGAAGACUCUCAAGCAGCUCUGUGGAGAGGUCCAUAGGUGAGGAACUGAGACCCCCCUCCAAGUGAGCAAUCUUGGAGGUGGAUCCUUUCCUCUCAUUCAGGCCUUCAGAUGACUACAGCCUGGACUGGUAUCUUGACUACAACCUUAUGGGGAACCCUAAGGCAACACCAGCUAAGAUUCUCCUGAAUUCCUCACCCGAAGAAACUAUGAGAUAAUAAAUCUGUGUUGGUUUAAGCCACUGUGUAUUGAGAUAACUAAUUAUGUGGCAAUAGAAAACUAAUACACUAAGAGAUGAAUUAAAUAGAGAAUCCACUCCAAGA